CGGGAUCCUGUAAAAAACUG
rnacentral:miRNA from 1 species